GACGAACGCUGGCGGCGUGCUUAACACAUGCAAGUCGAACGGAAAGGCCCUGCUUUUGUGGGGUGCUCGAGUGGCGAACGGGUGAGUAACACGUGAGUAACCUGCCCUUGACUUUGGGAUAACUUCAGGAAACUGGGGCUAAUACCGGAUAGGAGCUCCUGCUGCAUGGUGGGGGUUGGAAAGUUUCGGCGGUUGGGGAUGGACUCGCGGCUUAUCAGCUUGUUGGUGGGGUAGUGGCUUACCAAGGCUUUGACGGGUAGCCGGCCUGAGAGGGUGACCGGCCACAUUGGGACUGCGAUACGGCCCAGACUCCUACGGGAGGCAGCAGUGGGGAGUAUUGCACAAUGGGCGGAAGCCUGAUGCAGCAACGCCGCGUGCGGGAUGACGGCCUUCGGGUUGUAAACCGCUUUCGCCUGUGACGAAGCGUGAGUGACGGUAAUGGGUAAAGAAGCACCGGCUAACUACGUG
rnacentral:rRNA from 1 species